UACGUAGGGGGCUAGCGUUGUCCGGAAUCAUUGGGCGUAAAGCGCGUGUAGGCGGUCCGGUAAGUCCGCUGUGAAAGUCGAGGGCUCAACCCUCGAAUGCCGGUGGAUACUGGCGGGCUAGAGUACGGAAGAGGCGAGUGGAAUUCCUGGUGUAGCGGUGAAAUGCGCAGAUAUCAGGAGGAACACCAAUUGCGAAGGCAGCUCGCUGGGACGUUACUGACGCUGAGACGCGAAAGCGUGGGGAGCAAACGGG
rnacentral:rRNA from 1 species